rnacentral:rRNA from 1 species
GACGAACGCUGGCGGCGUGCUUAACACAUGCAAGUCGAACGGAAAGGCCCUGCUUUUGUGGGGUGCUCGAGUGGCGAACGGGUGUGUAACACGUGAGUAACCUGCCCUUGACUUUGGGAUAACUUCAGGACACUGUGGCUAAUACCGGAUAGGAGCUCCUGCUGCAUGGUGGGGUUUGGAAAGUUUCGGCGGUUGGGGAUGGACUCGCGGCUUAUCAGCUUGUUGGUGGGGUAGUGGCUUACCAAGGCUUUGACGGGUAGCCGGCCUGAGAGGGUGACCGGCCACAUUGGGACUGAGAUACGGCCCAGACUCCUACGGGAGGCAGCAGUGGGGAAUAUUGCACAAUGGGCGGAAGCCUGAUGCAGCGACGCCGCGUGCGGGAUGACGGCCUUCGGGUUGUAAACCGCUUUCGCCUGGGACGAAGCGUGAGUGACGGUAAUGGGUAAAGAAGCACCGGCUAACUACGUG